rnacentral:rRNA from 1 species
CCUACGGGUGGCAGCAGUGGGGGAUAUUGCACAAUGGGGGAAACCCUGAUGCAGCGACGCCGCGUGUGGGAAGACGGUCCUCUGGAUUGUAAACCACUGUCCCCAGGGACGAAGAUGACGGUACCUGGGGAGGAAGCUCCGGCUAACUACGGGCCAGCAGCCGCGGUAAUACGUAGGGGGCAAGCGUUAUCCGGAUUUACUGGGUGUAAAGGGAGCGCAGACGGCUGUGCAAGUCUGGAGUGAAAGGCGGGGGCCCAACCCCCGGACUGCUCUGGAAACUGUAACGCUGGAGUGCAGGAGAGGUAAGCGGAAUUCCUAGUGUAGCGGUGAAAUGCGUAGAUAUUAGGAGGAACACCAGUGGCGAAGGCGGCUUACUGGACUGCAACUGACGUUGAGGCUCGAAAGCGUGGGGAGCAAACAGGAUUAGAUACCCUGGUAGUC